rnacentral:rRNA from 1 species
UGAAGGUGAGCAAAUCCCAAAAUAAACGUCCCAGUUCGGAUUGUAGUCUGCAACCCGACUACAUGAAGCUGGAAUCGCUAGUAAUCGCGGAUCAGGAUGCCGCGGUGAAUACGUUCCCGGGUCUUGUACACACCGCCCGUCACACCAUGGGAGUCGGAAAUGCCCGAAGCCGGUGACUCAACCUUUAAGGAGAGAGCCGUCGAAGGCAGGUCUGAUAACUGGGGUGAAGUCGUAACAAGGUACC